rnacentral:rRNA from 1 species
CCUACGGGCGGCAGCAGUGAGGAAUAUUGGUCAAUGGACGCAAGUCUGAACCAGCCAUGCCGCGUGCAGGAAGACGGCUCUAUGAGUUGUAAACUGCUUUUGUACGAGGGUAAACUCAGAUACGCGUGUCUGUCUGAACGUACCUUACGAAUAAGGAUCGGCUAACUCCGUGCCAGCAGCCGCGGUAAUACGGAGGAUUCAAGCGUUAUCCGGAUUUAUUGGGUUUAAAGGGUGCGUCGGCGGACUGUUAAGUUAGCGGUGAAAUCCCGGGGCUCAACCCCGGACGUGCCUCUGAUACUGGUGGGCUUGAGAGGAGGUGCGGUAGGCGGAAUGUAUGGUGUAGCGGUGAAAUGCUUAGAGAUCAUACAGAACACCGAUUGCGAAGGCAGCUUACCAGGGGAGAUCUGACGUUGAGGCACGAAAGCGUGGGGAGCAAACAGGAUUAGAUACCCCAGUAGUC